AUCUGUGAAAUGCAAACCCGGCGAAAGCCGGCGACGCAAAGCCAAGGGCCUAAAGCAUACGCUAUGGCAGCCAGUUGCCGCA
rnacentral:ncRNA from 1 species